rnacentral:rRNA from 1 species
GCGUGAGUGAUGAAGGCCUUCGGGUUGUAAAGCUCUUUUGGCGGGGACGAUGAUGACGGUACCCGCAGAAUAAGCCCCGGCUAACUUCGUGCCAGCAGCCGCGGUAAGACGAAGGGGGCUAGCGUUGUUCGGAAUUACUGGGCGUAAAGCGAGUGUAGGUGGUUGUCCAAGUUGGAUGUGAAAGCCUUGAGCUCAACUCAAGAAAUGCAUUCCGGACUGGGCGACUAGAGGACCGGAGAGGAUAGUGGAAUUCCCAGUGUAGUGGUGAAAUACGUAGAUCUUGGGAAGAACACCAGUGGCGAAGGCGGCUAUCUGGACGGUUUCUGACACUAAAACUCGAAAGCGUGGGGAGCAAACAGGAUUAGAUACCCUGGUAAUCCACGCCGAAAACAAUGGGUGCUAGACCUUGGCGAGCUUGCUCGUCAGUGUCGCAGCUAACGCGUUAAGCACCCCGCCUGGGGAGUACGGCCGCAAGGUUGAAACUCAGAGGAAUUGACGGGGGCCCGCACAAGCGGUGGAGCAUGUGGUUCAAUUCGACGCAACGCGAACAACCUUACCAGCCCUUGACAUGUGACUCGCCGGUCCCAGAGACGGGACCUUCGGUUCGGCCGGA